UACGUAGGGCGCAAGCGUUGUCCGGAAUUAUUGGGCGUAAAAGAGCUCGUAGGCGGCCUAUUGCGUCCGCUGUGAAAUCCCAGGGCUUAACCCUGGGCCUGCAGUGGAUACGGGUAGGCUGGAGGCAGGCAGGGGAGAACGGAAUUCCCGGUGUAGCGGUGAAAUGCGCAGAUAUCGGGAGGAACACCGGUGGCGAAAGCGGCUCACUGGACCAUAACUGACGCUGAUGCACGAAAGCUGGGGGAGCAAACAGG
rnacentral:rRNA from 1 species